rnacentral:rRNA from 1 species
GAUGAACGCUGGCGGCGUGCUUAACACAUGCAAGUCGAACGGUGAAAGAGAGCUUGCUCUCUGGAUCAGUGGCGAACGGGUGAGUAACACGUGAGCAAUCUGCCCCCGACUCUGGGAUAAGCGCUGGAAACGGCGUCUAAUACCGGAUACGAGCUGCGAAGGCAUCUUCAGCAGCUGGAAAGAAUUUCGGUCAGGGAUGAGCUCGCGGCCUAUCAGCUUGUUGGUGAGGUAAUGGCUCACCAAGGCGUCGACGGGUAGCCGGCCUGAGAGGGUGACCGGCCACACUGGGACUGAGACACGGCCCAGACUCCUACGGGAGGCAGCAGUGGGGAAUAUUGCACAAUGGGCGCAAGCCUGAUGCAGCAACGCCGCGUGAGGGACGACGGCCUUCGGGUUGUAAACCUCUUUUAGCAGGGAAGAAGCGAAAGUGACGGUACCUGCAGAAAAAGCACCGGCUAACUACGUGCCAGCCGCCGCGGUAAAAC